UCCACCUACAACAUUCGGUAUAUAUUUUCUGUACUCCGUAUUCUGUUGGAACACUUUUUUAUUGGUUCACCGACAGGAUACGAAUUGCUUAGAACGAAUCAGUUAACAGAUUCAGGUUUUGGAGAAGCAGAAUAAACCAUUCAUAACAAAGUUUCUAAGAAAACUCCGAGAACCUUCUUUCACAACGUAGAUGGCGCUAUUAUUCCAACACACGACGCUUACGACUCCGAAUUUAAUACCUUUUAAGAGUACAAUAGGGGUCGUACAGACCCUUUGAUGCUUUUAUGCGAUGUUCAACUGCAGACGUUCCAGCGCAUAUGUGGUGUAUCGAGACAAAGAUAUUUAAACACCGGACGUUACAGAAUGUUGAGCUUACGGAUUCCCGAUAAUUGCCCGGUGACCGUAUCUGUCACAAUAUCAAAAUCAUGCGACUACAAGGCACCAUAAUUCCCAUUGAAGACCGUUUCGUCAACCGGUGGGUGACUCCUCGGAUAGGAAUUUUCUUAGCAACGGAUAAUGGAGCGAAAGAAGCAUUUUUCAAACG